rnacentral:rRNA from 1 species
AAUAUUGCACAAUGGGCGAAAGCCUGACGACGCAACGCCGCGUGGAGGACGAAGAUCUUCGGGUCGUAAACUCCUUUCGAUCGGGACGAAUGGCCGGUGACCUACUACGUCGCCGGAGUGACGGUACCGAGAGCAGAAGCCCCGGCUAACUCCGUGCCAGCAGCCGCGGUAAUACGGGGGGGGCAAGCGUUGUUCGGAAUUACUGGGCGUAAAGGGCGCGUAGGCGGCCUGCUAAGUCACACGUGAAAUCCCUCGGCUCAACCGGGGAACUGCGUGUGAUACUGGCGGGCUUGAAUUCGGGAGAGGGAUGUGGAAUUCCAGGUGUAGCGGUGAAAUGCGUAGAUAUCUGGAGGAACACCGGUGGCGAAGGCGGCAUCCUGGACCGAGAUUGACGCUGAGGCGCGAAAGCUAGGGUAGCAAAC